CCUACGGGAGGCAGCAGUGAGGAAUAUUGGUCAAUGGACGAGAGUCUGAACCAGCCAAGUAGCGUGAAGGAUGACUGCCCUAUGGGUUGUAAACUUCUUUUAUAUGGGAAUAAAAUGUUCCACGUGUGGGAUUUUGUAUGUACCAUAUGAAUAAGGAUCGGCUAACUCCGUGCCAGCAGCCGCGGUAAUACGGAGGAGCCGAGCGUUAUCCGGAUUUAUUGGGUUUAAAUGGAGCGUAGGUGGAUUGUUAAGUCAGUUGUGAAAGGUUGCGGCUCAACCGUAAAAUUGCAGUUGAAACUGGCAGUCUUGAGUACAGUAGAGGUGGGCGGAAUGCGUGGUGUAGCGGUGAAAUGCUUAGAUAUCACGAAGAACUCCGAUUGCGAAGGCAGCUCACUGGACUGCAACUGACACUGAGGCUCGAAAGUGUGGGUAUCAAACAGGAUUAGAUACCCCAGUAGUC
rnacentral:rRNA from 1 species